CACAUGUUGCUGCGGCGGAUCUGUGGUGAGCCGGACCAUGGCGUCCGCGAGCGUGGGCUGCAGGUUGCGGCAACAGUUGGCGGCGAAGGAAGAGGAAUACGCCGCAAACUGGGUGAGGACGUGGGAUCCGAACGGUGGUGGCGAUUCCCGCCCCCAUGGCUAUGGCCAGCUCGGAUUGCUGCAGCAGCCAGGGCAUGUCUCGCCAUCGGACUUGUGCCCUAGCUGUGUCCAUGCCUCCGUGGAAAGAAAAUGAAUUGGCAGGUGCGGACUCCAAAGGCUGUCUAAGCCAUCAACGUCCUGGGACUGGGAUGCGAGAUCCUGCUCCAGUUCGCUUUCCGCCUCCGCGACAUCGUCGAAGCCAGCAUACGGAUAGCGGGGGCAUGGCGCCCAUCUCCCCUUUCCAACCUGGCUGGCGGCACAAAGGAGGACCUCGGUGCCGUCUUCUUCAUCCCGAGGAGGCGCAAUAUGGGAGGAGCUGACGCCGUCUGUUUCCCUCUUCCGGAUGCACCCUCACGUGAUGCAUCGCCGCUCCUAUGGUGAGCCUUCUCAGUCUCUUGCUGAUCUGGCCACAAGAGCUCAGGAAGAACCACAAGAGUAAAAAUAUAGAGAUUCUCUCAAGAAAGAGGAUGAACGCACCGUAUCGAGUUAUGUCCACUGUUUGCUGCUUCUGGAGUAGCAGCAUAUCAUGUUCCUUUGGAUAUGUUUUUUGAGUUUGUUAUUACCAAAUAAAAUAUGAACUGGACGGAUGCUUCAGUUUCUGUUAUAUUCUUUUGAACCAGUAAAGAAAGAGGAUGCUAAGACUGUUCUACUAGGUCUGCUUUUCGUUUUGAGAUGAUUGCUUACUUGAUUUUUUUUAUACAUAUAUGUAGCUAAGUUAGAUACUUCCAAAUUUGGCUUUAUACUUCGUAUCACACCUCCAUGUAAAUGGUACAUAAAUACUCUUGAACUAAAUAGAACUUGCUAUGCAGGUAUGGUCAUUUUAAUAGACCUUUAUGUUUGCUAUGAUUGGUAAUGGAUAAUUAAUGAAAUUAGAAUGCCCAGAUAUAGUCACAUGCAGAUCAAGUUUAUAACUAGAUGCUCCUAUGUAAUAGGCAAGCAAGUACAUGCAUUUUACAUAUCUCUUGAUUACCAGAAGUAGCUUACCUUUCAAAAGGCGUCAUGAUGCAGGCCAAGUUUACAAAUUGACAAGGGAUUCUCAAACAGCCGUGAAAAUUUCAUGGAGCAUGCAUGGAGCCAAUAAUAAAUUAGAACUUGGGGAUACUAUGAAUUUCUACCCUCAUUUUAGGUAAUAGAACAUGCUAUUUGAUUUGGUUUUAUUUCUGUAUUUGUGGAUGGGGCUACAUUUUCCUCCUCUUUUAGUCGGUACAUUUCCUGAUGAGACCACUCAUUUAGACAAACUUCUGGUUCCUUUGUUCAGUCGUGAUGGCUCUGACAUGCUCCUAUGAUUUUGAUUCUUGAAUACUUUAUGUGUUUCUUCACCCACUUAUCUAGCAGAACAAAGUAGCAAAGGUUCUCACUACUACCAUGCAGUUUAAUUGUAUCUUCAUCUACUGGUUUGGUGGAAACAUGAAAGCAAGGGUUGGUAAGUAAUUCUCAAAUUUUAUUGGAAGAUCAUGCCUAUAUAUAAAAUCGUUGUACCCACUUAUCUAGCAGAACAAAGUAGCAAAGGUUCUCACUACUACCAUGCAGUUCAAUUGUAUCUUCAUCUACUGGUUUGGUGAAAACAUGAAAGCAAGGGUUGGUAAGUAAUUCUCAAAUUUUAGGGGAAGAUCAUGCCUACAUAUAAAAUCGUUGUACUACUCCCUCCGUCUCGAAAAGGAUGUCAUAGAUUUUUCUAAAUUCGGAUGUAUUUACACACUAAAUAUUUCUCUAAAUUCAAUGUGUGAGCAAAAUUAUACUCUUUUGGUGCCACUUUGAAUUGCUCUUAGGAAACUAUUAGAUGACAUUUAGAAUUGUUUUCUCAUAUUUCACUAACCACCUCCUCAAUUGUUUUACUUGAUAUUCAUUUGAUUAUGCUCUUAAGACAGUAUUAGAUGGCAGCCUAUAUGAGUAUAUGUACCAGGCUUUCAGAGAUAUUUAUUUGAUUAUGUUGUUAUAUUAACUAAUGUUCCCUCUCAUUGUUCUUUUUUUCUAGGGUUCACUCUCUACUGAAAGCAUCAAGUUACAUGUCCAUUUGUUUAGAUCUACAUGUCCCUUUUUUCAUUGGAGUUCUUGCUGCCUACAGAGUUUAGAUGACUGACAUUGAGGUGCAGGUAUUGUCAGUACUGGAUUUGUGCGUGUCAGUACUGGAUAACGGGUGUUUUGCUUCUGCACUAAUGCGUUCACCCUUCUAUGCAUUAUUUAACUUCUUGAUAUCCUCCGGUUCAGAAAAAGCAAGAGCUGAUUGGUCAAGAUCAAUUGCAGGACCAGGAUGAUGCUCAAGCAGCUAUAUUCAGAUAUCUGCAUGUGACAGCUACAUAUGUUCCAUGCUCAGGCUACCUACAAGAGUUGAUGCACUUUCAGAAAACACUGUAGAUAGUACUUUUGAUGAGUGGUUAGUUUCAUGUUAUCCUAUGGUCAGUGGUUCCUUUUGAAAACACUACCUAGAUAGUACUGCAGCUAUACUGCAUAAUUUUUUUAUCGGUAGUUGGCUCCAUGUUAUGCUAUGGUCAGUUCUCUUGUGUAUUUCGUGUUUUUCUGUAUAAUUGUAAUGUAAUCAGUAUU